GAUGAACGCUGGCGGCGUGCCUAAUACAUGCAAGUCGAGCGAACAGACGCGGCUCUUGCUCCUCUGACGUUAGCGGCGGACGGGUGAGUAACACGUUGAUCACCUACCUAUAUGACUGUGAUAACUUCGGGAAACCGGUGCUAAUACCGGAUAAUAUCUUCAACCGCAUGGUUCAUUAGAGAAAGACGGUGUUGCUGUCACUUAUAGAUGGAUCCGGGCGGCAUUAGCUAGUUGGUAAGGUAACGGCUUACCAGGGCAACGAGGCGUAGCCGAACUGAGAGAGUGGUCGGCCACACUGGAACGGAGACACGGUCCAGACUCCUACGAGAGGCAGCAGUAGGGAAUGUUCCGCAAUAGGCGAAAGCAUUGCGGAGCAACGCCGAGUGAGUGAUGAAGGUCUUCGGAGCGGAAAACCGUGUUAUGGGGGAAGAACAAAUGUGGAAGUAACUAUGCACGGAUUGACGGUAACUAAUCAGAAAGCCACGGCUAACUACGUG
rnacentral:rRNA from 1 species